GAUGAACGUAGCGAAAUGCGAUAAGUAAUGUGAAUUGCAGAAUUCAGUGAAUCAUCGAAUCUUUGAACGCACCUUGCGCUCCUUGGUAUUCCGAGGAGCAUGCCUGUUUGAGUGUCAUUAAUAUAUCAACCUCUUCAGCUUAUGCUUGUUGAGUGUUGGAUGGUGGGGGUUUGCUGGUGUCUUAUGAAGUCAGCUCCUCUGAAAUGCAUUAGCGGAACAAUUUGUUGACCGUUCAUUGGUGUGAUAAAAAUAUCUACGCUAUUGACGUCAGUCAGUUCAGCUUCUAACAGUCCAUUGACUUGGACAAAUUUUUCAUUAAUGUGACCUCAAAUCAGGUAGGACUACCCGCUGAACUUAAGCAUAUCAAUAAGCGGAGGA
rnacentral:misc_RNA from 1 species